rnacentral:rRNA from 1 species
CUGGUAGACGGGCAGCUGCAGGUGGCGGCGUACGAGAUCGUGAACAUUAUCGGGAACGGCGCCAUGACGGUGGGGUACUGGACGCCGGACGGCAAGGCUGCACGGCAGUUGAAACCCAUCCUCUGGCCGGGCGAGAUGCUGUCCCCGCCUAGAGGCUGGACGGCGUCGCAGAACGAGCGGGUGCUCAAUGUCGCUGUGCCGGUGAAGCACGGGUUCAAGCAGUUCGUGGACGUCUUCUCCGAGAACUCGACGACGCCGAAGAUCACCGGCUACUGCAUCGACGUGUUCGACGCGGUGAUGAAGAAUCUUCCCUACCCGGUAAGCUACCGCUACGUGCCUUACAACGCCAGCUCGGAGUCGUACGAGAUGCUGGUGGACCAGGUGAGCGAGGGGAAGGCGGACAUGGCGGUGGGGGACGUGACGAUCAGAGCGAGCAGGAUGGACAAGGUGGACUUCACGGUGCCGUUCACGGAGUCCGGGUGGGCAAUGGUGGUGGCGACACGGCCGGACACGAGCGCCAGCGUGUGGAUCUUUCUACAGCCACUGACCACCAGCCUCUGGCUCACCAGCCUCGCCUUCUUUUGCUUCACCGGCUUCGUGGUGUGGGUCAUCGAGCACCGCAUCAACCCGGAGUUCCGGGGCACGCCGUCGCAGCAGUUCGGCCUCAUCUUCUACUUCGGCUUCUCCACCCUCGUCUUCGCACACAAGGAGAAGCUGGAGAGCAACCUGUCGAGAUUUGUGGUGAUCAUAUGGGUGUUCGUGGUGCUGAUCCUGACGUCGAGCUACACGGCGAGCCUGACGUCGAUGCUGACGGUCCAGCAGCUCCGGCCGACGGUGACGGACGUGAAGGAGCUCCAGAGGCGCGGCCAAUACAUCGGGUACCAGGAGGGCACCUUCAUCGAGCCCAUGCUCAAGAAAAUGGGCUUCGACGAUCGGAGGAUGAAGAAGUACAGCACGGUGGAGCAGUACGCGGUGGCGCUGUCCAAGGGUUCGGCGAACGGCGGCGUGGACGCGGUGUUCGACGAGAUGCCGUACCUGAAGACGUUCCUCUCGCAGCACUGCGACGGAUACAUGCAGGUGGGGCCCAUCUACAAGACGGACGGCUUCGGGUUCGUGUUCCCGAGGGGGUCGCCCAUGGCGGGGGACGUGUCGCGGGAGAUCCUGAAGCUGGCGGAGGGGGACAAGAUGGCGCACAUCGAGAAGGCGUGGUUCGGCGAGCCCGGCGCAUGCCAGAACGCGCUGGACGGCAUCGGCCGCGGCGGCGGCUCGUCGAACCUUAGCUUCUGGAGGUUCGGCGGGCUGUUCCUCAUCACCGGCGUCGUAUCCACCCUGAUGCUGCUGCUCUACCUCGCCAUCUUCGCGUACCGUGAGCGCGAGGAGCUCCGGGAGGCGGAGGCGAAGGCUGAGGCCGAGGCUGCGCGCGUGGCUGCAGCACUUCGACAGGAAGGACCUCAAGUCCCCCACCUUCAAGACGUGGAACGACGGGUCCCCCAGGAACGGCAACGACUCCGCGGGCAGGACGCCAAGAUGGAACGGCGGCGCCGGCGACGCGAGCAUGCCGCCGAGGGACAGUGGGGAGGAGCAUCAACAUGCCAUGGAAGGGACCAGCCCGCUGAGCGUGUACAUCAGCUCCGAGAUGAACGCCGGCUCUUCGCCGGAGGGGACGCCGGCGUCGAAGAUCAGUGA